UAAGUUUAUUGCAAGAUUAUCUAUUCUAAAUAUUCACUUUUCAGUUCAUCUGUAAAAAAUUAAAACUUAACUUAAUGAGGACCCUUUCAUCAAGCAAGAUAAUAAGCUCACAAGUAAUAAAUAAAAAAUGUAAUAAAUCUCAUUUAAAUAGCUAAAUUAGUUAAAAAAACAACAAUACAAUGCAAUAUUUACAUUAUCCCUAGAAUCACAAAGCUCAACUCACAAAUCAUAGUUCGAAGACAAAUCCAAGUAGGGAAAUGAAGAAGAAAUAAAAAUUUAAGUUAAGGGAAAGAAAAAGUCAGUAAAAAUUGUGAAAAAUCAGCUGCUAUAACGUUAGAGAAGACGUCCUUUUCAGUUGCUGCAACCCGAUCCAAGAUGCUCCUCUCUCUUCCUUACAUUCUAGCAAAAAUCCUUAGUUUUCUUCUUAGGGUAAGAAUGAGAAAAAGAUGCUUUUAUAUCCCUCAUGGGUCUACCCUAAAAAUGGGUUAAAAGACCAAAAAUUCUGGAGAAAAGAUAAUAUAUUAGGUCAGAGGAGAAAGAUUGACACGUUAGCAUUUUUCAUUAAAACGACACAAAUUGAAUCAAGUUGUAUUGCGCUUGUGUUGCAAGUUGUGUAACUUUCUAGAAAAAUUUUGAAAUUCAUCAAGUGCAUUAACACAAGCUAAAUGAGAUUGUGUCUAAGCUUGUGCAGCUUUCGGCCUAAGAUUGCUAAUUGCGACACAACCUGAGACAUAAGUUACACAAGUUGUGUCAUAGAUUGUGCAACUUUCUGUUUCUUUAAAACCCAACUUCAAAUUUUUCUCUUUAAAACUUUGCAAUUCAGCUCUGAUUUCUUCCAAAUAGCUGCUCUGAUUAAAAUAUCACCAAAAUUUUUCAUAUUUUAAUCUACAAAAUCAAUAGAUUCCAUAAAUUAGACUAAGAAGCGUAAAAAGAUAAAAUUAGCUAAAUCAAUGCUAAUAUCUACUACAAAAGCUAUAAACAAGAAUAAAUUAAUUAUAAAAUUAUACAUAAAUAAUGAUAUAAAAUGCCCUAAAAAUAGUUUUAUAUCUCAAACAACCCCUUGAAUGAAAUUGAAAUUGCAUGAUUCAAGUAUCAUAUCUUAUUCUGAUAUAAAGUUAGCAUAUUUAACUUGUUAAACAAAAUUUUUUUCAUCUCAGCUAAACUCGCUCUCUUUCACCAUUAGGUGAAUAUUUCAAUAAUUUACUGUACACCUGUAUCAUAACGCGGUCAAAAUUUUUCCCUUUUUCCUUCCCUUGAAUCAAGUAGAAAAAAUGAUCGUGCAGAGAAUUCUGUAUUUACAUACUUUAUAUAGUGAAAAAGGAUGCAAUAAUUGAGAACAAGUCAUAUUUAGUGUUUCAAUAAUUAUGCUAAAUCACGAA
rnacentral:misc_RNA from 1 species